rnacentral:rRNA from 1 species
UACGGAAGGCAGCAGUGGGGAAUAUUGCACAAUGGGCGAAAGCCUGAUGCAGCUAUGCCGCGUGUAUGAAGAAGGCCUUAGGGUUGUAAAGUACUUUCAUCGGGGAGGAAAAACAAAACUAAUAAUUUUAUUUCUUGACGUUACCCGAAAAAGAAGCACCGGCUAACUCCGUGCCAGCAGCCGCGGUAAUACGGAGGGUGCUAGCGUUAAUCAGAAUUACUGGGCGUAAAGAGCACGUAGGUUGGUUUUUUUAAGUCAGAUGUGAAAUCCCUGGGCUUAACCUAGGAACUGCAUUUUGAAACUGAAAUACUAGAGUAUCGUAGAGGGAGGUAGAAUUCUAGGUGUAGCGGUGAAAUGCGUAGAUAUCUGGAGGAAUACCUGUGGCGAAAGCGGCCUCCUAAACGAAUACUGACACUGAGGUGCGAAAGCGUGGGGAGCAAACGAGGGAUUAGAUACC